AUGAAGGCCAACUGGAUCGUCCUCAUCCACCAAUCCGGUAGUCCGUGGCGUCUCGUGGAUAUCUACACCCAGCAAGAGAUCACCCUUCCAUUGUUGGAUACCGCCGCCAUCGAGCCUCGCGGCCCCAGACGCAAAUGUGCUGGCCUUCAUGAUUCCAGGACCUGGAAUCAUACCAGCCGAUGGUCGAAGAAGGAUUGGCCGGUGCUGCCGGCUGGCGUUAAGUUCGAUCCCAUGGAUCAGGAGCUGAUCGAGCACCUUGUGGCCAAAGUGAGUGCUGACAGCGCGAGAUCUCACACUCUCAUUGGUUUGUUCAUACCAACCAUCGACAGUGAGCACGGCAUAUGCUACACCCAUCCCGAGAAACUUCCAGGUAUCACACUGAGUGGCCUAAGCAAGCAUUUCUUCCUGCACAAUUCCAGGGCAUUCAAAAGGGGCACGUGGACACAUUGCAAGAUACAUUCGAAGUGCGACAUGCACGUGAUGUGGCACAAGACCGGCAAUGCCUUGCCGGUGAUGGUCAACGGCCGGCAGACGGGCAGCCGAAAGGUUUUGGUGCUGCACACCAACAAGAACUUCGACCAUCGGAGGACCAAAUAG
rnacentral:rRNA from 1 species